rnacentral:lncRNA from 1 species
AUGUGUUUAAUUUUUCUUUUUUACACUUUUUAAUUUUUCUCUUUCUUAAUUUUUCUUUUUGGUUUGUAUAACGGAUGUUAACACUUGUUCCAUCUAUCACUAGUAUGGUUGGAAGGCCCCAAAAUGGUUCAUCUAUCACAUGUCAUCACGAACUCCACUUCAUCAACUCACUCUGGUAUUAACUCAUCUCUCCCCUUAUGUGACCUCUUUGGUGGUAAUGUCGUGGCUUUAACGAACUCCACUUCUUGC